rnacentral:rRNA from 1 species
AUUGAACGCUGGCGGCAGGCCUAACACAUGCAAGUCGAGCGGAUGAAGGGAGCUUGCUCCUGGAUUCAGCGGCGGACGGGUGAGUAAUGCCUAGGAAUCUGCCUGGUAGUGGGGGAUAACGUCCGGAAACGGGCGCUAAUACCGCAUACGUCCUGAGGGAGAAAGUGGGGGAUCUUCGGACCUCACGCUAUCAGAUGAGCCUAGGUCGGAUUAGCUAGUUGGUGGGGUAAAGGCCUACCAAGGCGACGAUCCGUAACUGGUCUGAGAGGAUGAUCAGUCACACUGGAACUGAGAAACGGUCCAGACUCCUACGGGAGGCAGCAGUGGGGAAUAUUGGACAAUGGGCGAAAGCCUGAUCCAGCCAUGCCGCGUGUGUGAAGAAGGUCUUCGGAUUGUAAAGCACAGAAAGUUGGGAGGAAGGGCAGUAAGUUAAUACCUUGCUGUUUUGACGGUACCAACAGGAUAAGCACCGGCUAACUUCGUG